ensembl:lncRNA
AAAAUGAGAGCUUUCCAAAGAGAUCUAAAGAACAGCUAAUAGGGGUGUAUGAUGAUUUCUUACCAUAGAUCAUGGCUAUUCAAACUGUGGCCCAUAGAUCAGCAGCAUUGCCAUCACCUGGGAGCUUGUUCAAAAUGCAGAAUCUUGGGCUGCAGCUCAGACCUACUGAAUCAGAAGCUACAUUUAACAAGAUAACCCAGGCUCCUUCCCUCCGGAUUUCAUUCUGUUUAUAAAUAUUGAAGCUGAAAUGUAAACCACUUUGAAACUCUUCUCCUGAAGGCCUGCAUGUCCUGGUUGCCUUCGGGUUCAUUGAGUUUAACAACCAUGAUGCAGCCAGAUCUUUGAGGUGUCACCUGCCACCUGAACCCCUUUUCCAGAAUUGUCUAAAGGAAAAGUCCAUGACUUCACCUGUAUCCCUAAAAUUCACGUGUAAUCCAUGACAUUUCACCCAGAUGAACUAGCUGUUGGUUUUUGCAUUUCUUUCUUUCACUCUAUAAGCAAGUUCAUCUAUUCCCAGGUCUAAUAGACACAUGUACUUGAUCAGAAUCUGGCUUUUUUCCCCCCAUGGUUCUUUCAGACUUCUGAUUAAAUUAUAG